AUGAUGGGGGGUACUGCACCCAAGACAAUUCUAAUAGAUCAAUGCCGGGCUAUGGAGGUCGCCAUUAAAAAUGUGAUGCCUCAAACGGCACACCGUUGGUGCAAGUGGCAUGUGCUGAAGAAGGCAAAAGAAUCACUUGGUUCGUUGUACUCGAAGAAUAGCGAGUUCAGGAUAGAAUUCCACAAGGUAGUAAAUCACAUGCUUACAAUCGAUGAAUUUGAGGAAGCUUGGAAGAUAUUGGUGGAGAAAUAUAAUUUGAAGACCCACGACUACAUGAGGCAGCUGUAUCAUUUAUAUAAGACACAAGUGGGCGAAGCCUUAUUUUAA
rnacentral:rRNA from 1 species